rnacentral:rRNA from 1 species
GAAACCGAGUCUUAACCGGGCGUUAAGUUGCAGGGUAUAGACCCGAAACCCGGUGAUCUAGCCAUGGGCAGGUUGAAGGUUGGGUAACACUAACUGGAGGACCGAACCGACUAAUGUUGAAAAAUUAGCGGAUGACCUGUGGCUGGGGGUGAAAGGCCAAUCAAACCGGGAGAUAGCUGGUUCUCCCCGAAAGCUAUUUAGGUAGCGCCUCGUGAAUUCAUCUCCGGGGGUAGAGCACUGUUUCGGCUAGGGGGCCAUCCCGGCUUACCAACCCGAUGCAAACUGCGAAUACCGGAGAAUGUUAUCACGGGAGACACACGGCGGGUGCUAACGUCCGUCGUGAAGAGGGAAACAACCCAGACCGCCAGCUAAGGUCCCAAAGUCAUGGUUAAGUGGGAAACGAUGUGGGAAGGCCCAGACAGCCAGGAUGUUGGCUUAGAAGCAGCCAUCAUUUAAAGAAAGCGUAAUAGCUCACUGGUCGAGUCGGCCUGCGCGGAAGAUGUAACGGGGCUAAACCAUGCACCGAAGCUGCGGCAGCGACACUGUGUGUUGUUGGGUAGGGGAGCGUUCUGUAAGCCUGUGAAGGUGUGUCGUGAGGCAUGCUGGAGGUAUCAGAAGUGCGAAUGCUGACAUAAGUAACGAUAAAGCGGGUGAAAAGCCCGCUCGCCGGAAGACCAAGGGUUCCUGUCCAACGUUAAUCGGGGCAGGGUGAGUCGACCCCUAAGGCGAGGCCGAAAGGCGUAGUCGAUGGGAAACGGGUUAAUAUUCCCGUACUUGGUGUUACUGCGAAGGGGGGACGGAGAAGGCUAUGUUGGCCGGGCGACGGUUGUCCCGGUUUAAGCGUGUAGGUGUGUGUUCCAGGUAAAUCCGGUUCACUUUAACACUGAGGCGUGACGACGAGGCACUACGGUGCUGAAGCAACAAAUGCCCUGCUUCCAGGAAAAGCCUCUAAGCAUCAGGUAACAUCAAAUCGUACCCCAAACCGACACAGGUGGUCAGGUAGAGAAUACCAAGGCGCUUGAGAGAACUCGGGUGAAGGAACUAGGCAAAAUGGUGCCGUAACUUCGGGAGAAGGCACGCUGACACGUAGGUGAAGUGAUUUACUCAUGGAGCUGAAGUCAGUCGAAGAUACCAGCUGGCUGCAACUGUUUAUUAAAAACACAGCACUGUGCAAACACGAAAGUGGACGUAUACGGUGUGACGCCUGCCCGGUGCCGGAAGGUUAAUUGAUGGGGUCAGCGCAAGCGAAGCUCCUGAUCGAAGCCCCGGUAAACGGCGGCCGUAACUAUAACGGUCCUAAGGUAGCGAAAUUCCUUGUCGGGUAAGUUCCGACCUGCACGAAUGGCGUAAUGAUGGCCAGGCUGUCUCCACCCGAGACUCAGUGAAAUUGAACUCGCUGUGAAGAUGCAGUGUACCCGCGGCAAGACGGAAAGACCCCGUGAACCUUUACUAUAGCUUGACACUGAACAUUGAGCCUUGAUGUGUAGGAUAGGUGGGAGGCUUUGAAGUGUGGACGCCAGUCUGCAUGGAGCCGACCUUGAAAUACCACCCUUUAAUGUUUGAUGUUCUAACGUGGACCCGUUACCCGGGUUGCGGACAGUGUCUGGUGGGUAGUUUGACUGGGGCGGUCUCCUCCUAAAGAGUAACGGAGGAGCACGAAGGUUGGCUAAUCCUGGUCGGACAUCAGGAGGUUAGUGCAAUGGCAUAAGCCAGCUUGACUGCGAGCGUGACGGCGCGAGCAGGUGCGAAAGCAGGUCAUAGUGAUCCGGUGGUUCUGAAUGGAAGGGCCAUCGCUCAACGGAUAAAAGGUACUCCGGGGAUAACAGGCUGAUACCGCCCAAGAGUUCAUAUCGACGGCGGUGUUUGGCACCUCGAUGUCGGCUCAUCACAUCCUGGGGCUGAAGUAGGUCCCAAGGGUAUGGCUGUUCGCCAUUUAAAGUGGUACGCGAGCUGGGUUUAGAACGUCGUGAGACAGUUCGGUCCCUAUCUGCCGUGGGCGCUGGAGAACUGAGGGGGGCUGCUCCUAGUACGAGAGGACCGGAGUGGACGCAUCACUGGUGUUCGGGUUGUCAUGCCAAUGGCACUGCCCGGUAGCUAAAUGCGGAAGAGAUAAGUGCUGAAAGCAUCUAAGCACGAAACUUGCCCCGAG